CCUUUUAUGGAAAAACCCCUACAUAAACAAAUACAUGGGCGCAGACAUUUUGGACACCCAAGGUUGUGCGGAGGAGAAAAUGCUAGCUGGCGCGUGAUUGGUCAAUAAGAGAAAAGACUUGUUAUGUAUUUGACAAGUGAAAUAAAGUUGAUAAAAAUUUCAUAUCAAGACUUGGGUUUCUUUGAGGUAUAUAGGAGUUACAGGUAAAAAUUUGAAGGGAGGGAUGCACUUUGGUUAGAGAUUUUCAUUUGGUGUCAAACGCACCUAGUUGUAAACAAAUGGAAAUUGAAAGUAAAAGUGCAACGGCACGGUAUAUUUUUUCUGGCAUUUUUUGUUUUCCAAUAUCUCGAACUUUCACGACAAAAAGACCAUUUUCCCGAAAUUCAAUAUAUGUAUCAGUGAGAGGUGCUAAAGUUUGUAUGGAAGUCUAUGGGAAAACAUUUGGUGGUGUUUGUCCUAUAGAAAAGCAAUGCAUUAUCAAGAAGGAAGAGAUUAAUGAACCCUACCCUCUUACAAUUAACAAAACAUGGACACUCUCAGGAUGAUCCUUUUGCUUUCAUUAAGAGUUUCAAGAUGUGGGUCUGAUUGACUGGGGUGUGAAAUGUAACAGCCAAUGGUGUACUUAAGCUAAGACUGUCAGUCCCAUUAUUCAAGAGGUGAGAUAAGCAAUGGAUAUGUGUUCUAAAUUUACUAAAUUGACCACUUUUUAUAAAUGUUUCUUUUACUCUAUAGGAAAAACCCCUACAUAAACAAAUACAUGGGCGCAGACAUUUUGGACACCCAAGGUUGUGCGGAGGAGAAAAUGCUAGCUGGCGCGUGAUUGGUCAAUAAGAGAAAAGACUUGUUAUGUAUUUGACAAGUGAAAUAAAGUUGAUAAAAAUCUCA